GCUCCCAUGGCGUAGUGGUCACUGCACUCGCCUUGCAUGUGGGAGACCCGGGUUCGAUUCCCGGUGGGGUCA
rfam:Asian citrus Psyllid, Diaphorina citri - Florida Strain, whole genome shotgun sequence.